rnacentral:rRNA from 1 species
AGAGUUUGAUCCUGGCUCAGAACGAACGCUGGCGGAGGCCUCAAACAUGCAAGUCUAGGGGGUGUAGCAAUACAUCACCGGCGGACGGGUGCGUAACGCGUGGGAAUGUACCUAUUGGUUCGGAACAACUGAGGGAAACUUCAGCUAAUACCGAAUGUGCCCUUACGGGGAAAGAUUUAUCGCCAAUGGAUCAGCCCGCGUCCGAUUAGCUAGUUGGUGGGGUAACGGCCCACCAAGGCUCCGAUCGGUAGCUGUUCUGAGAGGAAGAUCAGCCACACUGGGACUGAGACACGGCCCAGACUCCUACGGGAGGCAGCAGUUGGGAAUCUUGGACAAUGGGGGAAACCCUGAUCCAGCCAUGCCGCGUGAGUGAUGAAGGCCUUCGGGUUGUAAAACUCUUUCGCGCACGACGAUAAUGACGGUAGUGCGAGAAGAAGCUCCGGCUAACUUCGUGCCAGCAGCCGCGGUAAUACGAAGGGGGCUAGCGUUGUUCGGAAUUACUGGGCGUAAAGGCGCGCAGGCGGCUAUCCAAGUCAGUGGUGAAAGCCCGGAGCUUAACUCCGGAACUGCCAUUGAAACUGUUUAGCUGGAGUAUGAGAGAGGUGAGUGGAAUUCCCAGUGUAGAGGUGAAAUUCGUAGAUAUUGGGAAGAACACCGGUGGCGAAGGCGGCUCACUGGCUCAUUACUGACGCUCAUGCGCGACAGCGUGGGGAUCAAACAGGAUUAGAUACCCUAGUAGUCC